ACGAACGCUGGCGGCGUGCUUAACACAUGCCAGUCGAACGGUGAAGGGGCCUGCUUUUGUGGGCCCUGGAUGAGUGGCGAACGGGUGAGUAACACGUGAGUAACCUGCCCCCUUCUUCUGGAUAACCGCAUGAAAGUGUGGCUAAUACGGGAUAUUCUGGGUCUGUCGCAUGAUGGGUCUGGGAAAGAUUGCGCCUUUGGGUGUUUUUGGUGGGGGAUGGGCUCGCGGCCUAUCAGCUUGUUGGUGGGGUGAUGGCCUACCAAGGCGGUGACGGGUAGCCGGCCUGAGAGGGUGGACGGUCACACUGGGACUGAGACACGGCCCAGACUCCUACGGGAGGCAGCAGUGGGGAAUAUUGCACAAUGGGCGCAAGCCUGAUGCAGCGACGCCGCGUGAGGGAUGGAGGCCUUCGGGUUGUAAACCUCUUUCGCCAGUGAAGCAGGCCUGCUCCUUGUGGGUGGGUUGACGGUAGCUGGAUAAGAAGCGCCGGCUAACUACGUG
rnacentral:rRNA from 1 species